rnacentral:rRNA from 1 species
CCUACGGGUGGCAGCAGUGAGGAAUAUUGGUCAAUGGACGAGAGUCUGAACCAGCCAAGUAGCGUGAAGGAUGACUGCCCUAUGGGUUGUAAACUUCUUUUAUAUGGGAAUAAAAUGUUCCACGUGUGGGUUUUUGUAUGUACCCUAUGAAUAAGGAUUGGCUAACUCCGUGCCAGCAGCCGCGGUAAUACGGAGGAUCCGAGCGUUAUCCGGAUUUAUUGGGUUUAAAGGGAGCGUAGGUGGGUUGUUAAGUCAGUUGUGAAAGUUUGCGGCUCAACCGUAGAAUUGCAGUUGAAACUGGCAGUCUUGAGUACAGUAGAGGUGGGCGGAAUUCGUGGUGUAGCGGUGAAAUGCUUAGAUAUCACGAAGAACUCCGAUUGCGAAGGCAGCUCACUGGACUGCAACUGACACUGAGGCUCGAAAGUGUGGGUAUCAAACAGGAUUAGAUACCCCUGUAGUC